GUUCGUUUCUGUGUGUGUUGCAUUUUAACGUUGAGUCGUUUGUGUUUUCUCUUAUUUUUGAGAUAAGACGUGGCACGGUACUUGUCUAUCCCAAAUUCAUGUAUUUGGUUUUGAUGUUAUAUUUGUUAUUCUCGUGGUGUUUUGUCUGUUGCUUGGUCCGUUUCUGUGUGUGUUGCGUUUCGGUGUUGUGUCGUUGUUCUCCUCUUAUAUUUAAUGUGUUUCCCUCGGUUUUAGUUUGUU
rnacentral:lncRNA from 1 species